GACGAACGCUGGCGGCGUGCCUAAUACAUGCAAGUCGAGCGAGCGGAACCAACAGAUUUACUUCGGUAAUGACGUUGGGAAAGCGAGCGGCGGAUGGGUGAGUAACACGUGGGGAACCUGCCCCUAAGUCUGGGAUACCAUUUGGAAACAGAUGCUAAUACCGCAUAACAACAAAAACCACAUGGCUCUUGUUUGAAAGAUGGCUUUGGCUAUCACUCAGGGAUGGACCUGCGGUGCAUUAGCUAGUUGGUAAGGUAACGGCUUACCAAGGCAAUGAUGCAUAGCCGAGUUGAGAGACUGAUCGGCCACAUUGGGACUGAGACACGGCCCAA
rnacentral:rRNA from 1 species